rnacentral:rRNA from 1 species
GACGAACGCUGGCGGCGUGCUUAACACAUGCAAGUCGAACGGAAAGGCCUCUUUCGGGGGGUACUCGAGUGGCGAACGGGUGAGUAACACGUGAGUAACCUGCCCUUGACUUUGGGAUAACUUCAGGAAACUGGGGCUAAUACCGGAUAGGAGCUCCUGCUGCAUGGUGGGGGUUGGAAAGUUUCGGCGGUUGGGGAUGGACUCGCGGCUUAUCAGCUUGUUGGUGGGGUAGUGGCUUACCAAGGCUUUGACGGGUAGCCGGCCUGAGAGGGUGACCGGCCAAAUGGGGCAGGGAUUCAGGCCGGGACCCAGGCGGGAGGCAGUGGGGGGGAGUUUGGACCGAGGGGUGGCGGCUUGUGGCAGCAGCUCGCUGGGGGGGAUGAGGGCUUUCGGGUGGUAAGCCGAUUUCGCCCAGGACAAAGCUUUGUGGGACGGGGGGGGAUAAGGAGGCCCCGGCAAACUACAUC